GACGAACGCUGGCGGCGUGCUUAACACAUGCAAGUCGAACGGAAAGGCCCUGCUUUUGUGGGGUGCUCGAGUGGCGAACGGGUGAGUAACACGUGAGUAACCUGCCCUUGACUUUGGGAUAACUUCAGGAAACUGGGGCUAAUACCGGAUAGGAGCUCCUGCUGCAUGGUGGGGGUUGGAAAGUUUCGGCGGUUGGGGAUGGACUCGCGGCUUAUCAGCUUGUUGGUGGGGUAGUGGCUUACCAAGUCUUUGACGGGUAGCCGGCCUGAGAGGGUGACCGGCGACAUGGGGACUAAGAUACGGCCCAGACUCGUACGGGAGGCAGCAGUGGGGAAUAUUGCACAAUGGGCGGAAGCCUGUUGCAGCAACGCCGCGUGCGGGAUGACGGCCUUCGGGUUGUAAACCGCUUUCGCCUGUGACGAAGCGUGAGUGACGGUAAUGGGUAAAGAAGCACCGGCUAACUACGUG
rnacentral:rRNA from 1 species